AACGAACGCUGGCGGCAGGCCUAACACAUGCAAGUCGAACGCUGACUUCGGUCAGAGUGGCGCACGGGUGAGUAACACGUGGGAACCUAGCCUUCGGUACGGAACAACCCAGGGAAACUUGGGCUAAUACCGUAUACGACCUUCGGGUGAAAGAUUUAUCGCCGAGGGAUGGGCCCGCGUCCGAUUAGGUAGUUGGUGAGGUAACGGCUCACCAAGCCGACGAUCGGUACCUGGUCUGAGAGGAUGAUCAGGCACACUGGGACUGAGACACGGCCCAGACUCCUACGGGAGGCAGCAGUGGGGAAUAUUGGACAAUGGGCGGAAGCCUGAUUCAGCCAUGCCGCGUGAGUGAUGAAGGCCUUCGGGUUGUAAAGCUCUUUCACCCACGACGAUGAUGACGGUAGUGGGAGAAGAAGCCCCGGCUAACUUCGUGCCAGCCGCCGCCGUAACAC
rnacentral:rRNA from 1 species